CACGUAGGGGACGAGCGUUGUCCGGAUUCAUUGGGCGUAAAGCGCGCGUAGGCGGCUCGGAAAGUCGGUCGUGAAAUGCCGGGGCUCAACCCCGGGACUGCGUCCGAUACGCCCGAGCUGGAGGCAGGUAGGGGAGAUCGGAAUUCCUGGUGUAGCGGUGAAAUGCGCAGAUAUCAGGAGGAACACCGGUGGCGAAGGCGGAUCUCUGGGCCUUGCCUGACGCUGAGGCGCGAAAGCUAGGGGAGCGAACAGG
rnacentral:rRNA from 1 species